ensembl:lncRNA
GGAGAGGGUAUUUUAAGAUCCUUUUUAAUUGUAGGCACCAGAAAGACCAUCAUUUAAUAGAACUAACCAUCUUCAGUUGACAAGCCAUGGGACAAAUGUACACAAGAAUGAACACACAAACACUCACAGAACAGGAGGAGGGGUGAUGCAGGACCCAAUGAUGCUGACUUUGAAGCUGGUUCGAACAUCUAAUAGUGCUCAUUGAUCAUUGUUCAGGCAAACCAUCCCCUUGGGGAGAUAUUGUAUUCAUCAGCUGUUGCUCUUCCUGGGCAUGUGCUGCUGUCUGAGGGCUCUAACACAACAAACAUUUACAUCUCCAAACAAAACAACGUCAUCACAUUUUUCUUAUGAUUUGGAAUAAAAACAGUGCAGAUUUCGAAACAAUAAUUUUUUUAAUUUUGUUUUAUCCAAUCGAGAUCACACCUGACCCACGAGAAUAACGCUCUGAUUGGCUCGGUUCUGUCAGAGAACGCAACGUAAGACCGACUGUUCGAUGCUAGUGGUUCAUUAGGACUCCUGGCUGAUCACCGAUUGGCUGGUUUCAUCUGUCACUCAUUUCCUAACGACUGAAGAACAGGGGAACAUUGUAAACGUACAAAGUCAAAUAAAGACAAUCAUGAAUCAUCAUGGUUUGGUUCUGUCUGUACGGCUGAGGUUUGAUCAGAACCAUCAGAUCUUUGGAGGCCUCUCCACCAUCCUCUCGUCUGAGGGUGGGGUGGGAGGAUUAGGGAGGUGUGGAAUUCCUUCCCAGGAGACUUACAGUAGCAUGGGGGGCAGGGCUCCCACCCUGGGAAAGAACCCAAUGCCUAAUCAGCCAUGUCGUGGAACGUGAACCUUUUGGUUCAGUCGUGUAUUUCACCUUUAGAGGCGAGCUCCCUGAAGAGCCAGGGGCCAGCUCUCUGAAGAACCAGACUUAGUGAACCCUGACCUCAACAUCCGCACUCAACUGGGAAAAUGUAAUCAUAGAUUAGAAUGAAACGGUUACAUAAUGUGCUUUAAUUUAAUAGAAUGGUGUUGGGGGAGGGAUAAAUAUAUAUAUAUAUAUUUGUGUAACUUCUAAGGCUCCCAUGUGUUGCUUACCAAACUCAACCUCCAUUUGGUGUUCUUUGUUCUUCAUAUCAUUAUUUUCUCUUCUUAGAAACUUUAAUCUAACCAGGCAACCAUUCUCUCACAUGAGAACGCAGAAGUAAGUCCAAACAUUCAGACGCAUCAUCCAUCAUUACAUGCAUUUAUUUGAGGAAAAAAUUGCCUUUACAUUUCUUUGUGAUUACCAGCACAUUUUGAUUAAGUUAACAAAUUAUUAAAAAUAUUUUAAAAUUAAAGCAUUACAAACAGACUGGGCAGCACAGCACGUUGUCCCAGACUCACACCCGGAGACACGGGGGGGGGGCUGGGGGGUUCAAACAAAGGGAAUAAGGGACUGAUUGGAGCUCUAACGCCGUGGUUUGUGAGACGGGAGCAGUAUAGCCUGAGCUUCCCCACAAAGGCUGCCUCACACACACGACUUGACCUUUAACAAGUCACACAGAUUCUCCUCUGAAGUGAUGACUGUCUACAGUAGACCAGCAGACCCCUCCUCCAACGGUCCAUCUCUGACCCGUUUGAACUGAGCGCUGGUCGGGUGGGAGCGGGGUGAGAGCGGGGUGGGUCUGAGCGGGGGUCGGGUGGGAGCCGUGGUGAGAGCGGGGUGGGUGUGAGCGGGGUGUGAGCAGUGGUCGGGUGGGAGCCGUGGUGAGAGCGGGGUGGGUGUGAGCGGGGUGUGAGCGGUGGUCGGGUGGGAGCCGUGGUGAGUGCGGGGUGGGUGUGAGCGGGGUGUGAGCAGUGGUCGGGUGGGAGCGGGGUGUGAGCGGGUUUGAGCGGUGGUCGGGUGUGAGCGGGGUGUGAGCGGGUGUGAGCGGUGGUCGGGUGUGAGCUGUGGUCGGGUGUGAGCAUUGGUCGGGUGUGAGCAUUCGUCGGGUGUGAGCGGGUGUGAGCAUUGGUCGGGUGUGAGCGGGGUGUGAGCUGUGGUCGGGUGUGAGCAUUGGUCGGGUGUGAGCGGGGUGUGAGCGGGUGUGAGCUGUGGUCGGGUGUGAGCAUUGGUCGGGUGUGAGCGGGUGUGAGCGGGGUGUGAGCUGUUCGGGUGUGAGCAUUGGUCGGGUGUGAGCGGGUGUGAGCGGGGUGUGAGCACAUUCGUCGGGUGUGAGCGGGUGUGAGCGGUGUGAGCGGGAUGUGAGCAUUGGUCUGGUGUGAGCGGGUGUGAGCAGUGGUUGGGUGUGAGCGGGAUGUGAGCGGGGUGUGAGCAUUCGUCGGGUGUGAGCGGGGUGUGAGCAUUGGUCUGGUGUGAGCGGGGUGUGAGCAGUGGUUGGGUGUGAGCGGGAUGUGAGCAUUGGUCGGGUGUGAGCGGGUUGUGAGCGGGAUGUGAGCGGGAUGUGAGCGGUGGUCGGUGUGAGCAUUGUUCGGGUGUGAGCCUGCAAGUGCUGCCCCUCCUGAAAACAACGCUCUUCGUGCUUGUUGUCUUAACAGUUCAAUCAUUCCAACAUUGACGUAAACCCUUCACCCGAAGAUAUCUUUAUUACCAAGACCCUUUCCCCAAUCAAGAGAAACAACCACCUAAUCCAACAGGACAUUUACACCAACGGGGCAAGUCGCUUAAAGCAAAAACCCUUAAUAAAGAAAUAACAUUAAACACAAAAGGGAAGGGAGGGGAAUAAUCCACACAGAGACGCUCAUAGAUCUAUAAAAUAAAUACAAAAACAAUCGAUUUCUCAAAGCAGCAAAACAAAAGCCAGGAUAAAAUUCAAACUAAGAAUGAAGUGAAGGCAACAUGAAUCACGGGGGGGGGGCGGUACUAGUGGAAGACGGAAUAAAGAAGACCAGGAAGGAAGGAACAGGGGACCAUCUACUCGUAUCAAGACGCUUUAUGUGUCCCCCGCAGCUGUGAGCCGGUGGGGGGCGAGACCACGUUAAGGUGUCUGCGAUUGGAUUUGGUCGGCAGAUUUGAAGGCCGUACAGUUUGACUUCCAUUAACAGCACGACUCAUCAGAAUGAGGACAGUAGUGUAGGGGGGGCCGGGGCAGGGACACAGCAACACAAGAGGGACACUUUCAACAACUUUCUCAACUCAUUUUCCCUCGGGGACCAAACAGAUCUGUGAGCUUGGAGACCCCCAGGCUGAGGAACCCAGCGAGGAAGACGCCUGGCUCCUGGGAGCGCCUGACAGGGUGGGGUACACACCAUACCACACCUGUUGCCUGGGGGGGGGGCUGUAUUCUGUAGUCUUUGGUUAGUGUCAUCAGCCCCCUCUUGUGGUGUGGGGGUCUGGGGCGUCGAUGGAGCAGAGCGCCCGACGGUAGCACCUCCUCCUGGGGCUCAGUGGGGGGUGUAGUGUGGGGCAGGUGGAGCUCUGAUGCCUGGUGCCAAAGCGUGGUGAUGGUGGAGUUGUUUUCAAAAGUCUUUCUGUCUGAGAUGCUCUAUCUUUUUGGUCUAUUUAACAUGUUGGUAUAUCUUUAUGUACGGUGUUCCAGCCGGCAGAGGGUCUGGCGGAGAGAGGCGACCAUCUGAGGAGGCAGACCGGGGUUCCCACGACGCAGCCUGAGGACCAGAGAGAGACACAGGGAGGGGGGGUUAACCCCCAUCUAGAAUACAUCCGAUACAUCUGUUAACCAUACAUCGCUAACCCUAACCCCCAUCUAGAAUAGAUCUGAUACAUCUGAUAACAUCGCUGUCGCUACAGUAAGGAUGUUCAUGGAACCAAGUGCCAAGCACUAACCAACACCAGGUUAACCCAUUCCCCGUAGACAACAGAGGCAGCUAUGAUAAGACGCUACACCAUGCUAGGUGCUAUCUUAAUGUCAGAGCGCCCGGAGCUCGGUUGUACCAGGGUUAGGGUUAGGGUGACCUGGGUUAGGGUGACCUGGGUUAGGGUGACCUGGGUUAGGGUGACCUGGUCAGGGGUGACCUGGUUAGGGUGACCUGGUUAGGGUGACCUGGUUAGGGUGACAUGGUUAGGGUGACCUGGUUAGGGUUAGGGUUACCUGGGGUCUUCAGGGCGCGUCUCUCCGCUCCGUCUCCAGGCUGGCGUCCAGCAGCAGCGUCUCCACGUCCGGCCCGCAGCUCAGCUCUGCUGUCAACAACACAACACAACAUCACAACACAGCAUCACAACACAACACAACACAACACAACACCCCUUUACAGUCUGUCCUCACCGCCAACAUCACAACACAGCAUCACAACAACACAACACAACAUCAGUUCACUGUCCUCACCCACACUGUCAACAUCACAACAACACAACAUCCCUUUACUGUCUGUCCUCACUGCCAACAUCACAACACAGCAUCACAACAACACAACACAUCACAACACAACACAACAACCCUUCACUGUCUGUCCUCACCCUCACUGUCAACAUCACAACAACACAACAUCCCUUUACUGUCUGUCCUCACUGCCAACAUCAGAACAACACAACACAGCAUCACAACAACACAACACAUCACAACACAACACAACAACCCUUCACUGUCUGUCCUCACCCUCACUGUCAACAUCACAACAACACAACAUCCCUUUACUGUCUGUCCUCACUGCCAACAUCACAACAACACAACACAGCAUCACAACAACACAACACAUCACAACACCCCUUAACUGCCAACAACAACAACACAACACAACAUCCAUUUAGAGUCUGUCCUCAGACUCAAGGGCCCCUAUCUUGCAUCUGGCACAAUUGACUUAAUCACUGGCGCAUGUGUCGUUGCUAGUUUGCAACUGGCACAGAGUGUUCUUUUCCCUCCUGCACCACGUCGGUAAAUUAGGGAAUGAUCUUGCGCCCCAAGGGGCGGCUCGGCGAAAGGAGGAGGCGUGUUCUGGCACAAACGUUCCCUGGUGCUAUCUUGCCGUUUCAGAAACCACCUGCGCCACAAACAAGGAAAUACCUAGUUUAAAGUCAGUGGCGCGUUGUUCAGAUGCUAUUUUAAGGGCGCAUGCAUAUAUUUUUGCUUGUGCACCUCGCGCAUACACUUUGCUUCUCUCAUCUACCUAGCCACACAUUCUUGGUAAAUUAUUUGAGAAAGAACAGCUGAUACCACGGUAAUAAGUUGUACUUUUAAAUCAAUGCAUCUGCAAACACCAUACAACAAACACAUAUUUUCUUGACACAGACAUCGUGUACAUGCCCAUAACUUUUAGGAUUGAUGAGUAUUGGAUUGUGAGAAAACAUUGUUUUACCGCGAGUGAGUGUUAAGAAGAAUGAAUGAAUGCUGGAGCGCGUGUGUGUAUGUGUAACACACACACGCGAGUAGGCGUGCGCGUGGGCGUCCAUCUGUUUGAACACAUGCAAACUAAACACGUAACGCAUAAUAGUCCAUGGCAAUGUAUAUUAACGGGGGGACACAUGCAUAUUAGGAACACAAGUCGAUAACGAUAAUGCAUACAAUACUGAUAAACGAUGUUUAUAAUGUAUUGUGUAUAUCAUUAAAUAGAACUACAGUUACCGCAUAUCAUAUGUUAGAUCAUAUACGAACAUACAUCAUAUGCCGAAAUUUAUUUAAGGACUCAGUAUUUCUGAAGUUGUGGAAGAAAACCUUAUUCCCUGUGUGAAUUAGGCCAUAUUAUUUGGCCUAAAACUGAGCCAUUUGAAUUUUGUAAUUCAUGUGCAUCUGUCUCAUCGGAGACUGCAGACGCACUGCAAAAUUUCAACUCGUCAGAUUCAAAUGCGCUCAUGGCUCUUAAAGGGGAUGGGAGCUGGCACUCUCAUUGGAUUAUUGCACGUUACGCCCAAACCACACCUACGGGUAAUGAGGCUACUUCAGACCAACUCUUAUUAGAUAUGCGCCGGGCGCAAGUCAUUAUUCGCGCCGGUAAACUAGCGACAUCGCCAUAGAUCCGCCCACAAAGCUACUUGCGCUUGGUGCUUCUAACUUGCGUUUCAGAAUGUUAAAAUAGGGCCCAAGGCCUUAAAGCACCACUAAUGCCACAUUUAUAUUGCUAAAUAGGCAGCGUCAGGACCCUCAAAACGAAGACCUGGGAAACAAAGAAUAAGGGAGUCUCUCUGCGGGAGUCCCUCGAGGAAGACCAAGGAAGCCACCCCUAUUGUAGCUGUUUGUCGUAUUUCAAUCAUCGUCAGGAUACCCAUCCGGAGUACACGCCACCCGAGAUCCCCAUCUCGGCGCAACCCAUCUGUGGCACCCACCGCCCUCGACCUACACUGACCUCAAAGUGAUGGGACGACUCUGGAACUGCCAAUCAGCAGUCAAAAGGCAGACUCCAUCUCGGCCUAUGGCCUCCCUCAUGACUCCACUUCCUAGGCCAUACAGAUUUGGACUUAGACUUGGAUCACUCCAGAGAACUCUGCCACUCUUGCUGCCCUCUCCACCGCCUGCUCGUUCUCACACCUCCUAAGACCAUCGGGGCGAGGAGGGGGGACUGGACUCCUCAUCUCUCACUUUCCGUCCUUCGGAGAAGACAUAAAACCAAGGUCCUGACUCACUGAGGUCAUAAAAGAUUGCAGGGCACUUAUCGCAAAGAGAAGGGGUUUCCCCGGUGUCCUGGCUCAAUCAGGCUCAUUCAAUCUGGACCCCUAAUCAUCCUCCUGUAAAAUUGGCCGACUCAUUAGUUCCCUCACUCUCCACCUCAAGCUUGAGCGUUCUGGCGCUGAUUGGCUGCCGUGCAUCACCCCAGUGGGUGCUGCACACUGGUGGUGGUCAGUGAGGUUCCCCCCUUCACUGUGAAGCAUCUUUGAGUGUCUAGAAAAGCGCUAUAUAAAUUCAAUCCAUUAUUAUUAUUAUUUCGUGAGUGGUCCUAAGUGGUCCUUCCACUGGAACACUUGACCAGAUCUGCAUUUGACCUCCAUUCUGUUAUUGUCACCCUUCCCAUAAAGCUCUACAUUGUGGUGAUCUACCAUCCUCCAGGUCCCUUCCACGACUUAUACGAUGAGAUGGAUGCUCGUUCUCCUUGGCGACUUCAACAUUUUGCCUGAGAAGUUGCACUUCAAUAAACAACCUUUUUCGCCACCUUUGACAUAACACUCUCCCCUUCUCCUCCCACACACAGGGCCGUGAACCAACUUGACCUGAUAUUCACAAGGUCCUGCGGUACCUCACUCUCUCUGUCACCCCGCUCCCUGUGUCUGACCAUCACUUUGUUGCUUUUUCUCUCCCCUUGAAGUCCUUCCCCUCCAAGCUCUGUAUUCCUCACAUUGUCACCACCGCCGUAACCUGAAAUCCCUCCCUCUACGUUUGCCCCAACUCUCCUGUCUUCACUACCUUCUGUCGAACGAUUCUCUCAGGUCUCCACGAGAAAAUCUCCAACACUAUUCUAUCCUCCCUCUCCUGUCUCCUCCUCCUUGGACUCCCUCUCUGUCCUUCCACUCCAGACCUGCGCAAUCCUUGAACAUUUUCCAUGUUCUCUUCCCUCCUCCAGAGGGAGGAGGGUAUAUGCCAAAGCCAGAGCCUCGUCCCUCUCAUCUGUCCUCAUUCUCCUCAACCUGUCAGCGGCAUUUGCCAUCGUGAACCACCAGAUCCUCCUGCCAUUCUCGCCGUACUUGGCAUUGCUGAAUCUGCCCUAUCCUGGUUCACAUCCUACCUGAAGAAUCGCAUCAGGUAACAUGGAAUGGCUCCUUGUCAUAACCCUGCACUCUUGACACUGGUGUCCCUCAAGGCUCUGUACUGGGACCCCCUCUGUUCUCCCUCUAUACCAUCACAUCACAGUUUUUCCUAUCACUGCUACGCUGACGACACUCAGCUAUUCCUAUUUCCCUUACUCUGACCCUGAUUGCAACAUGGAAAGCGGAAUGUCUGGCAGACAUCAGCACUUGGAUGACUGUCAAUCACCUGAGGCUUAACCUCAACAAGUCUGAGCUACUCCUAAUGCCAGGGAAAGAUUGCCCACACAUGGACUUACUGUCACUGUCGAGAACAUUACUGCAUCUCCUUCUCUAACUGCCAGAAACCUCGGUGUGGUACUGGACAUUCAGUUAUGCUGCACCGCAAACAUCACCGCAGUGGCCCGAUCCUGCAGAUUUGCCCUUUACAACAUCCGCAGGAUCCGGCCCUUCCUCACGAGGAAAGCAGCUCAGCUCCUGGUCGAAGCGCUCAUCAUCUCCUGCCGCGACUACUGCAACUCGCUCCUGGCUGAACACCCUGCCUCCAAGAUUAAACCUUUGCAGCGUAUCCAGAACGCUGCAGCGCGCCUCGUGUUCAACCUACCCAAGUCCUCCCAUUUGACCCCCCCCUCUUCCAGGAACUUCACUGGCUUCCUGUAGUAACUCGCAGAUUCAAGAUGAUGGUACUGGCAUACAAGGUGGUCAAUGGAACUGGCCCUGCCUACCUCCAAGCGUUGGUCAAACCACAUCGCAGCUCGGGCGCUCCACUCAAGCUACCUCAGUCGGCUACCGCCAUUGCUAACAGCAAGCAAAGGUCGAUCAUCAAAGUCCCAACUCUUCUCUGUUUUGGCACCGCUGUGGUGGAACGAGAUCCCUGCCGAUGUCAGGACCGCAGAGUCGCUCACCAGCUUCCGCAAAAGACUCAAAACUCACCUGUUCAGAGUUCACCUAGACCUAUGCGAUAUUUAUUCAUAGUACUUAAUUGUGUAGCAUCUAAGUCACCUGGUGUCGACUAAGAUUGAACAAACAAACAUCGGUUGAGACUAACGUCGGUUCAGACUAACGCCGGUUCAGACUAACGCCGGUUCAGACUAACGCCGGUUCAGACUAACGCCGGUUCAGACUAACGCCGGUUCAGACUAACGCCGGUUCAGACUUGUGUCUCUGGUCCCUUUUGUUCAAUAGUCUUAGAGAACGUUUGACCUAAAGCCGUGUGUAGUGGUGGAGGAGCUCCAUCAGAACGUGAACCUUGGGCCUCACCGUGUUCCAGCAGACUGCCGGCUGCCUUGGGGCCCUCAGCCUCCAGCAGACAGGUCUCUGCCUUGGGGCCCUCAGCCUCCAGCAGAGAGCCGGUUGCCUUGGGGCCCUCAGCCUCCAGCAGAGAGCCGGUUGCCUUGGGGCCCUCAGCCUCCAGCAGACAGGUCUCUGCCUUGGGGCCCUCAGCCUCCAGCAGAGAGCCGGUUGCCUUGGGGCCCUCAGCCUCCCGCAGAGAGCCGGCUGCCUUGGGGCCCUCAGCCUCCAGCAGACAGGUCUCUGCCUUGGGGCCCUCAGCUUCCAGCAGACAGGUUUCUGCCUUGGGGCCCUCAGCCUCCAGCAGAGAGCCGGUUGCCUUGGGGCCCUCAGCCUCCAGCAGAGAGCCGGUUGCCUUGGGGCCCUCAGCCUCCAGCAGAGAGCCGGUUGCCUUGGGGCCCUCAGCCUCCAGCAGAGAGCCGGCUGCCUUGGGGCCCUCAGCCUCCAGCAGGGCGAACUCCGCCCUGAGCCCGUUGGGGAGGGCUGCUGGCCCCGCCCCCUGCCCCCCCUGGUCGGCAACCUUCCCCUGGGGGGUGAGGUCCAGGAGUGGGCUCAGAGGAUGGUCCUCCCAGGAGGGCGGGGGCAGGCUUUCCCCUGUUGGGGGGCUGGGCGACUGCGCCUCCUUCAGAGUCUCAGGCACUUCCUGCAUGCCUGCCUGGGGGGUCCCCACGCCCCCUACUGCCUGAUGCUGCUCGGCGGCGGCCAUUUUAUCCUCUGGAUCCUCCCCCUGUACCUCCUCUCCCUCCUUGCUGCUCUCCCACGCUGCUGCUGGGGCCGCUGGCUCUCGGGGCGGACCACGUGGUCUGGGGGGUCUGGGGUCCACUUGGGGUCUGGGGUACACUUGGGGUCUGGGGUCCACUGGGGUCAGGGGUCCAC